rnacentral:misc_RNA from 1 species
UUGUGUGUCGUUUCGUACCUCCCACUUGCUGUCGCCCAUGUCUCCUCGACACGAAUAGUGCCGCGUUUUUCCUCGCAGAGCCGCUCCGCCCCACGCGGCCUCUCUUCUGGCUUUCAUGUCGCAUCUGUUCGAGAAUGCGGCAAUCGAGCUGCUGCGCAAACAAGGCACUGUUGCUGCCGCUGAAGUCCUCGCUGGCAAAAAGUACGUGCUCAUCUGCUUCUCCGCCCACUGGUGCCCGCCAUGCCGCCGCUUCACGCCAAAGCAAAAAGGCAUUUCACGAGAAGCAUCACGUAAAGCACAACUUCGAGGUUCUCUUCGUCUCCAGCGACAGUUCACCAGAUGAGAUGAGGGCGCACUUCAACGAGGCGCACGGAGACUGGCUCGCUUUAUUAUACAAUGCUGCGCAGACGAUCGGCCGAGACUGGGCCCAUCAGCACGGGCUCCUUUUCGAUUCCGUCGCUGCUAGUUUUGGAAAACAACGCCGAGCGACGUGUCAUGACGAGCUAUGGUCGCGACAUGGUACUGCGUGACCCGGACGCACAGAGCUUUCCGUGGCAUAGCGCCGCCGCCAUCAUCAACGCGGCCCGACACUCCUUCAUGAAAAAAAAAAACGGCGGCCAUUGUAGUACUGACGAUCCUCCUGCUGACUUUGCUUAUCCAGUAACUGUUGGGCGCGGGAAGCAGAAGAGGUGUGCGCGCAUGCCGUUGCUCAUUCCUUCAUAUGCCCCCUCGUGAAACGAAGUACUCAAGUCUCUUCUCUCGUGGGCACUCGGGUGCGCGUGUCGCGCUAAUCGGUUUUUGUUGCCUAGAGUCUUAAGACCGAGGGAGGUUUCUCAUGGCCAACGAAAACCAGUGAGAGAGUGCUGUCAGAACUCCGUCAGCUCCCUGCAACAGGACUAUCACGGCUCACUCAGCAAUACCAAGUAGUACGAGGGCUUCUUUCGGCACCCCAGCCUCACUCGCGUGGUGCAGCAGACCAACACGAAGAUGUGCAUCGCCCCUUCCAGUUUGUUCUGCGUCUUUUCUUUCUCAUGCUCGUCCACAGCGUCUUGC